UGCAGGGCCAUUUUAUCUUUAAGGAAU
rnacentral:piRNA from 1 species